rnacentral:lncRNA from 1 species
UGUAAAACCGUGAAAACUUUCUAAUUCGACUCCGAUUGAUUCUAAAGUCUAUAAAUAAGCUAUUGGGGUUCUCUAACAAAGCAAGCAUCAUGAGAAUACAUAUUUGAGAAACCCUAGAGGCUUGGAUUUCAUCAAAAACCUAUUUUCUACAAAAAGCCUCUUUUAGAUCAAAUCGAGAUAUCGAAAUUUGAUAUUAAUAUGUCGAUUUGAUCUCCGCUUUGCUUGGAGUUUCUUUCUCUGGUUUUCUACGAUACUCCUAAGCAAAGGAUAACCAUAACCAUGAUACUCUUCAUGACGGCGUCGUGGAUUCGGCGUGUUUGACGGCAGUUCGUGGAUUCGGAUCGUGGGCUCGUGGAUUCGAGUGGCGUCGUGGAUUCGGCGUGAUUGAAGCUUCGUGGAUUCGAAGUGGGGGCGUUCGUGGAUUCGGAUGUGAGGGCGUGGACAACCCGGAGGGUAGCGCGAAGAUUCAUAGGAGGUUAAGAGAGGUAGAGUCCGUGGAGUCGGUAAUCACCUUGUAAUCUUUUCUCUUAGUGAAUUAUUUUUUCGCGUGUUGGUCCCGUGGAUUUUUCUCCAAGUUGGAGUUUUCCCACGUAAAUCUCGGUGUGCUUUUUAUUUUCUGCAUUUAUUUUUAUUGCAUCAAGAUUUGUGAUUUUUGGCCGUUCACCUAUUCACCCCCCUCUAGGUGAUAGAUACAAUCUA